CUUUGACAUCAGCACAGCUUUGAAAGGGGGAUGGGAGAGCGAGCAGAAAGCAGAAAAACCAGCUUUGAACUAUGCAUGCAAGGCCUCUUUCAAGCCUCAAAUUCUAUAAGGACGGCUUGAGCCAGGGCAGUUCAGGAAACACUUGAGGAGCAGAGGCAGCAGGGCGCUGGACCAGACAGAGGACGGGAAUGUCCAAGAAGUGGUCUCUGUGUGCGGUAAUGAGCCGAGAUUACAGCUGGCAGCUGGAAACUAAACCCCAUGGGUGCCACCCAGAGAGAGCUGAGACUGACCAUGGAGUAACGGCCAAGGUCAUGUGUGUAGCCCCGGGCCAUGGAGAGGGGGUACCCUGGAGGGGCUGGGCUGGCUGGCUGGGCUCAGGCUGUCUGACAGGCAACGGGCUCCCCAGUGUUCUGAAGAGGGAGUGGCCCUGGUGGUAACUCUCUGUGGCUUAGAGGGGCUGAAGCUAGAACACCGCUGUGACUCCGGGCCCGCUGGUUCCCUGAGGGCAAGGGCCACCUUGGGUCAUCGCUCUGAACACCUUCCCCUUGCUCUGAGAAGCACAGAUGGCCAGUGUGAACUGCCUCAGCAAUCCAGGGACUGUGUCCUCUCAUUAAGAUAUCAUGGCAAAUCACGAGAAGACACAAAAAUCAAAACAUGCAAGAGAAGAAAAGACUAAUGAAAGCAGAGAUUCCCUGCGCGGCUCUUUCUAAGCUGACUAGAAGAGCAGCAGGCACUCCGAUAACUUCCGCACAGUCCAUUUUUAUUAUUCUUCAACUAACAGGCAAGAAGCCAAAGUUCCUGUAAAUAUAUGCAUAAUUCAUUUGUAGGCAGUUAAACCUCUACUUUUAUGGUAAAGCUUUCAAUUGUAUCAGAAAAUAGGCAGGGCGCAGUGGCUCUCAUGGCUGUAAUCCUAGCACUUUGGGAGGCGGAGGUGGGUGGAUCACUUGAGCCCAGGAGUUCGAGACCAGCCUGGGCAACAUGGUGGAACCCCGUCUCUACUAAAAAUACAAAAAUUAGCUGUGCGUGGUGGUGCGCACCUGUGGUCCCAGCUACUUGGAAGGCUGAGCUGGGAGGACUGCUUGAGCCUGGGAGGUCCAGGCUGCAGUGAGCUGACAUUGUGCCACUGCACUCCAGCCUGGGUGACAGAGCGAAACCGUGUCUCAAAAAAGAAAAUAAACUGCUUUGAAUGAGGGUGAAGUAUUGUAUUUGCAUGAGAGGAGAGCAAGAGAUAUAAAAUAUUUAACUGGUAUUCAAAAGCCAAUUUUAAACAAUUCAAGUAAAUUCUAACAAUAAUGUAAUGACUUCUUUCACAAAAGACCAAAUACUCGGCAACUCUUUUGCCCCAGGGUCUCUAGUUAGUUAGCCGAUAAUAAGUCCUACAUUAUUCUGCUAUAACUUUGACUUCUCCUAGUCUUUUCUUUUCUAAAAAUGGCCUCAAAAAACAAGUCCAUGAUUAAUUUACUCUUCCUAUAAGUAUCUUAAAAAAAAAAGGUCUCUUUAUUUAACACUUCCACCUUCCAGUCCAAAAAUGUUAAAUGAAGGCAUUAAUUCAGAAUAAUCUUACAAUGAACAGGUCUGAGGGCUAUAUUCAACCUCACUGGUUAAAAAAAAAUAAAAAUAUGAAAUACCUUUUUCUACUUAUCAAAUAACUACAACUUUUACAUGAUCUCAGCAUUGGAGAGGUAUGAUGGACAGGCAUCUCACAUACUCUGUAUGUGGUGCUACUCUCUGGAAAGUGUGUAGACAAUAUCUAUUAAGGGUUUUUGAAAAUGCCUGCUCUUUGAUCCAGUACCUCCUUCAUCAAGCUUAAGGAAAGGUUCAAAGAUGUGAACAACAACGAUAACAAAAGAUUAACAGAACAGUAUCAUUUAUAAUAGCUGAAAAACUGGGGUAUCCACAGAAUGAAAUAAUAAACGGUUGCUAAAAAUCAUGCCUCUCGUUCCCACUAAUGUCAGAAACAAGACAAGUAUGCCCACUCUCACCACCACUAUGUAACAUUUUACUGAAAUUGUUUUACUGAAUUUAUUAGUCAACUGGAGAGAAAGACAUGUGAGUUUACAAUUAUAAACAGAGGUGAAAUUAUGUGCAGAUGCUCUAAUUAAUACCUGAAUAUUCAAAAGAAUCAACUGAAAAACUGAUGCAAACAAUCAGGUAAUUCAGUAAGGAAGCAGGUUAUGAAAGCAAGGCCCCCAAAUUCAAUAGCCUUCAUAUAAACAACUAAUAACUAGAAGACACAAUGGAAGAAAAGACUCUAUUUACAAGAGCGAUGAUAAUGAUUAUCUAGGCAUUAGCUUAGUAAGAGACAUGCAAAACCUACAAGGGAAACUUAAAAACAGCCUUAAAGGACAUGAAAGUGGCCUUGGAAAAUAGUCAUAGCAUACUCUUAGAGGAGGCACACAUCACAAGAUGCCAGCCCUCCCUCAGAUAUUUGCAAAAUGUAACAGGAUCCCAAUAAAAAUGCCAACAGUAGCCAGGCAUGGUGGUGCGUGCCUGUAAUCCCAGCUACUUGGGAGGCUGAGGCAGGAGAAUCAUUUAAGCCCAGGAGUUCAAGACCAGCUUGGGCAACAUCGCAUGGAACUGUCUCUAAAAUAAAUAAAUAAAUAAAGUCAACAGCUGUUUCUUUCUGCAAUGACUAUGGGUCAAUUCAAAGUUCCAACUGUUUGCAGUAAUAUCAAUAUUGUUUUUGGGAACUGUUUAAGAGAAUAUACCCAUAAUUACAUUAGUGAUGCUAGAAAUCAACAUUUUCAGUGUAAGACAGAGAUAAAACUAUGAAAGCCAAGAAAUAAGUGAAAGUGAUAGGAACAGGAAGCAGGGAAGUUCUGGGCAGAAGAGGGCACGUCCCUUGUGAGGGCCCUAGCCUCAAGCCGAAAAGCCUGGAACCUUGGUCCAAAGUGAGAACAUGCAUUCCUGUUUCCCCACUCGAAUGUUGCCUUUUCCAAAACCACCCAUGGCUUGCCCCGUGCCUCCAUCCUGUGCCCAUAAAAACCCCAGGCUCAGCUGGUAGAGAGAAGAGAAGCAACUGGACAUAGGAGACUAGAGUUGGAUGUUGGAAAGAAGUGGCUUGACUUCAGAGGGACAACUUGAUGGCGUAACUUCAGAGAAGAAUCUGGCUGGAGACAGCCAGACUUCAGGGGAAGAUUACCUUCCCACUCUGUCUCCUUUUUAGCUUCCCUUCCCACUGAGAGCCACUUUCAUUGGCAAUAAAAUCCCCUGCAUUUACCAUCUUCAAUUCCUUCAUGCAACCUCAUUCCUCCUGGAUGCUGGACAACAACUUGGGUGCCAUGAGUAUGGGUGUAAAAGGUUGUCCCACUGACCCUCCACUGAGCUGUUAACACUUAAGUCAUCCAUGGAUGGCAGAGCUAAAAGAGUACUGCAACACUUUCUCUGGGGCUUCAGGGAUCACAGGGACCCCU
rnacentral:lncRNA from 1 species